UACGUAGGGGGGCAAGCGUUGUCCGGAUUUAUUGGGCGUAAAGAGCGUGUAGGCGGCCAGAUAGGUCCGUUGUGAAAACUGGAGGCUUAACCUCCAGCUGUCGAUGGAAACCAUCUGGCUAGAGUCCGGAAGAGGAGAGUGGAAUUCCUGGUGUAGCGGUGAAAUGCGCAGAUAUCAGGAAGAACACCCGUGGCGAAGGCGGCUCUCUGGGACGGUACUGACGCUGAGGAGCGAAAGCGUGGGGAGCGAACAGG
rnacentral:rRNA from 1 species